GGCAUCUUCCCAUCAGGCAGAACUUGUGCUAUGGCAUUCUGCCCCUUCCCUGCCUCUGCUUCCUUCUUGGAGAGGAAGCAAAGUGCUGGUGCUACCACAGUAACAAAUACAGGGAAUUUAGUCCUGAUACAACCUACCACGGGACUAGAACACGUGUGGGCAGCAGUGGUGGCUGCACUCUUCUACAUAACUUUAAGUGCUGCUGAUUUUCUUGUCAUGUUUUGCUGGCAAGAAAUGCGUGGCUGGUACCUUUUGGAAAGCACAAAAUGAAAUGCUCAAAGAUUUAGCCAAAGGAUAGAGUCUCUGGCAUUUGCCGCCCUAAGAGUGAGAGGAAAAUUGUGUGGAAAGUUGUCAUUUAGCAUAAAAUUAAUUUAAGGAAUAUACUUGAGCACCUGCAAGGAACUGAAUGAAGAAGGAGCAGAAGAGAAUGUCUAGCCUAGUGGGAUCAGAAAGUCAUCGUGGUGACCUAUUGCUAGAAGAAAAAGCAGAAUUCAACUUCUGCAAGGAAAUAAAAAUAGGGUGUUUUGCAGUGUAAGAAAUAAGGAGUCCUUCUGCAUAAGGAACAGCUACCAUUUAUGAUUCCUGUGAAGGAGGAAAAUGGAAUAUCUCUGUCAAAGAGUCAAAAAAGACCUGACAGCACUGAUACCACUGGUGGCCUACACAGACAUCAAAGUGUUACAGCUUGAGAAACUCAGCUGCCCCGAGGUGAGUGAGAACAAACCAGAGUUUCUGACAGUAGUGCAAACCUGCCUCUGGAGGAAGGGAACCUAUCCCACUGUUUAAAGGAGAUGUGUCCUAUCCCUCUAAUUAUCUUGGUGGCCUCCUCUGGACUUGCUCCAACAGAUUCAUGUCCUUCCUGCACUGAGGACCCCAGAGCUGGAUGCUGUACAUGUAUGUGUGUGAGCUGCAUGUUUUUCAGAAUGAAGACAACCUAGUUUGGGUACCAGUAGCAUUCCCAUGGCAGGAAGCUAUGGAAAAGCUACUGAAAUCUCAUUAAUCACAGUAGUGCCUACUGCUACACAUCACCCUCUUAAACUGGACUCCAGCAUCUAAAAUGACUAAAAUGCAGCUGUUCUGCACUUCAAGGAGAAUACAGUUUGAGAUUUUUAAUAAUCUUAACUGAAAAGCAGCAGCAGUGAGUGAAAUAUUGAUAGGUAUUUCCCUGAAAGGUCAUUUGUUUUCUGUGCAACAGUGGAAAGAGUCUUAGAUGAACUUACAGGCACAUGAAUCAGGCUGACAGUAUAUGAAGAAGACACACUAGUGUGUCUACUUGACAAUGUUUUGAAGUUAGUAAAAUCUAAUAAAGUUUGUCUGGGCUAAAUAUGGCAUAUGACACCACUAAAAUAGACAAAGUAUGGACAGAAAUUGUGUAUGAAAGGCAAAAGGGAAGUAUUUAAAGAGACUAAAUUUUAUUUUAGUAGAAUAGUUAAAAACUUCAUUAACCAUGAAUUGCUCUUCAUUUAAUCUUGAUAGCACCAUAUGAGACUUGGAAAGAAAGAAAAGAGCUUUCCUUGAUUGCCUUCUGGUAUCUAGGAAAGGCCUUAAUCACUCUUCAUUAUGAUACUAAAUUACUGAUUCUAAUCUUCCCUGUGCUGAAGAUCUCAAAGAAUUUGCAGUGAAAUCUGAACUACUGAAAUGCAAAAACUUAAGACAGACAUAAACAUUGAUACUUUUGUCCAUUCUGGUUGAAUUUCCAAAUUCUGAAAGGCAGCUCUUGCUGAGUGUCACCUUCAGCAGGAAGCUCAGGCAGCACACGCUGACGGGGGCUCUGCCAGGGGAUGUGUGAACUGCUCCUCACCUUGCUGGUCAUGGUUAGGCACUGCUGAAUUAGGAAUAUGGCAACAGGUUUGCCCUUAAGUUUCUGAAGUCAAUUCACCUAAAGUGAACAAUGAAGAGAAAUUAAUACCUAUGUUCAGUUUAAAUAAUUAGUUCAACAUUUAGAUUUACUGCAAAUUAUUCAGUUUGUACAGGUACAUGACACAUUUCCUUUGUUAACUGGGCAGUCUUAUUCAAGACCUGAAAAUACACAUAUUUUUAACCUUUCCUUUUAUGAUCUGGAGUCUGUAAUUUGCAUUGUUAAAAACUAUUAUAAUGACAACACUAAAACCUAGACUGUGCUAUGCUUUAAAUUCUAUUGAAAUUAAAGCUAUAUUGAAUUAAACUUUAAUUUACACUUCAAAAAAAAAUCUUAGUUUCAACAAACACCUUUCCUUUUUUGAAAGUUACAACAAAAAUCUCACUUAAGGAUAUAUACAGUAACUGAAAUUACAUAUAAUUUGUUUUACUGGGACUUAAGAAAAAACCCAGAACAAACUGGCAAAAAAUCCACACCAACCUGCUUCUGGUCUACCUGACAUAUUUCAACUCAGAGUUCUUCUUUUUGCUUCACUACAUGUUUUCUCUUAGCUUACAACCAGAGUUAAUUAGUAGCUUGUUGUAUACCUUUAUAUUGCACAAUCUGAGAGUGCAUAUGAAAGCUCUAUUGUAAAUCAGUGAAGCGAGUGCUAUGCACCAAUCAGUUACAUUUUCAAAUAUUUCACUGUCAGAAAAAGUUGUUUCAGCAGCAUUUUUUUUUGUAGUUUGAUGCUAAGACACUCACUGAAGAGAGAAGGCAGACUAUGACUUAUAAUUAGAAUUAUUAUUUUUCAAAUGCUGCACUUCUAUGUCCUGUAUCAGAGAGAAAUAUUUAAUUUUUCUCUGAAAAGGCCUACAUUAUCAGUUUCAUUGUUAUUUCACCACUUUACAAUUUACUGAGGUUGGAAUUGUUAUAAAGGCAAGUAUACAAGCAAAGACUUCGGAAAAUCGGAAAAUAUUAUUUGUUUUCCUCACCUUGUUUAAAUCAUAGUAAAAAUUUGCCUAAAAUAAGCAUCUUUUAAGUGCUUUAAAAUCUUUAUAUAUAUAUAUGCUGUUAAAACAACAUAUAUUUAAAGCAACAAAAUGUUCUUCAGCAACAAAAUUCUAUUUGAGAUCUGUUGACAAAUAUGUUUAGAAGAAAAUCCUCCUAGAGUUACCAAAACCUUUCCUGCUCAGCUGCUUAAAAAAGAGCUUAAUUAAAAAACAAUGAAUGAGUAAAUAUGGAUAUUAGUUUUGGCCUCAGAAAAUCCUUUUAUCCGUCAGAUUUUUGCGUAUCACUGUAUGUUUGUAAAGAAUCAGAUUAUUGUUUUCAUCCUUGGCCAAAUAUUGCAAUCAUAAAAACAUGCAUUGAAGAACUGUUGCACUUUUUGAAAAACUAUCUAUGGAGAAAGGUAGCAGCAUGUCUAAGUGUAAGAUUUAAUUUUAAUUAUUAAGCAAAGAUGGGCAGAAUGGAAAGUCACGCUUCAAACAACACUACAGUUGUGAAGCAGGUAAUCUUCAUUUUUCAAGCACAUCAACAGUUCUUCUCAGAGGUCUCUAAAAGCUUUUGAUGAGGUUCUUUCAAUGCUCUCUCACCUCAGACUGCUGCUUCUCCUUCCCUGGCCUCAGAAGCUGUAAUGAAAAAUAAAGAGAUUAUAACUCCA